CCUUGUACACACCGCCCGUCACAUCACGAAAGUGGGCUGUACUAGAAGUCCCCAUCCCAACCGCAAGGAGGGUAGGGCCCAAGGUAUGGCCCAUGAUUGGGGUG
rnacentral:rRNA from 1 species